rnacentral:rRNA from 1 species
CCUACGGGAGGCAGCAGUGAGGAAUAUUGGUCAAUGGAGGAAACUCUGAACCAGCCAUGCCGCGUGAAGGAUGACGGCCCUAUGGGUUGUAAACUUCUUUUAUAUGGGAAGAAACUUAUCUACGUGUAGAUAACUGACGGUACCAUACGAAUAAGGAUCGGCUAACUCCGUGCCAGCAGCCGCGGUAAUACGGAGGAUCCAAGCGUUAUCCGGAUUCAUUGGGUUUAAAGGGUCCGUAGGCGGAUUUUUAAGUCAGUGGUGAAAGCCGACAGCUCAACUGUCGAACUGCCAUUGAUACUGGAAAUCUUGAGUACAAAUGAAGUAGGCGGAAUGAAUCAUGUAGCGGUGAAAUGCAUAGAUAUGACUCAGAACACCGAUUGCGAAGGCAGCUUACUAACAUGUAACUGACGCUGAGGGACGAAAGCGUGGGGAGCGAACAGGAUUAGAUACCCUGGUAGUCCACGCCGUAAACGAUCAUUACUCGCUGUUGGCGAUAUACUGUCAGCGGCCAAGCGAAAGUAUUAAGUGAUGCACCUGGGGAGUACGCCGGCAACGGUGAAACUCAAAGGAAUUGACGG